rnacentral:rRNA from 1 species
UACAGAGGGGGCUAGCGUUGUUCGGAAUUACUGGGCGUAAAGGGCGCGUAGGCGGCCCGCUAAGUCGAACGUGAAAUCCCCGGGCUCAACCCGGGAACUGCGUCCGAUACUGGCAGGCUUGAAUCCGGGAGAGGGAUGUGGAAUUCCAGGUGUAGCGGUGAAAUGCGCAGAUAUCAGGAAGAACACCAAUGGCGAAGGCAGCUCUCUGGGACGGUACUGACGCUGAGACGCGAAAGCGUGGGGAGCGAACAGG